rnacentral:rRNA from 1 species
UACGAAGGGGACUGGCGUUGUUCGGAAUUACUGGGCGUAAAGCGCGCGUAGGCGGAUCGCUAAGUCAGGGGUGAAAUCCCAGGGCUCAACCCUGGAACUGCCUUUGAUACUGACGAUCUGGAGAUCGGGAGAGGUUGGUGGAAUUCCGAGUGUAGAGGUGAAAUUCGUAGAUAUUCGGAGGAACACCAGAAGCGAAGGCGGCCAACUGGCCCGAUACUGACGCUGAGGCGCGAAAGCGUGGGGAGCAAACAGG